AGCGAACGCUGGCGGCAGGCUUAACACAUGCAAGUCGAGCGGGCAUAGCAAUAUGUCAGCGGCAGACGGGUGAGUAACGCGUGGGAACGUACCUUUUGGUUCGGAACAACACAGGGAAACUUGUGCUAAUACCGGAUAAGCCCUUACGGGGAAAGAUUUAUCGCCGAAAGAUCGGCCCGCGUCUGAUUAGCUAGUUGGUGAGGUAAUGGCUCACCAAGGCGACGAUCAGUAGCUGGUCUGAGAGGAUGAUCAGCCACAUUGGGACUGAGACACGGCCCAAACUCCUACGGGAGGCAGCAGUGGGGAAUAUUGGACAAUGGGCGCAAGCCUGAUCCAGCCAUGCCGCGUGAGUGAUGAAGGCCCUAGGGUUGUAAAGCUCUUUUGUGCGGGAAGAUAAUGACGGUACCGCAAGAAUAAGCCCCGGCUAACUUCGUGCCAGCAGCCGCGGUAAUACGAAGGGGGCUAGCGUUGCUCGGAAUCACUGGGCGUAAAGGGUGCGUAGGCGGGUCUUUAAGUCAGGGGUGAAAUCCUGGAGCUCAACUCCAGAACUGCCUUUGAUACUGAAGAUCUUGAGUUCGGGAGAGGUGAGUGGAACUGCGAGUGUAGAGGUGAAAUUCGUAGAUAUUCGCAAGAACACCAGUGGCGAAGGCGGCUCACUGGCCCGAUACUGACGCUGAGACACGAAAGCGUGGGGGAGCAAACAGGAUUAGAUACCCUGGUAGUCCACGCCGUANACGAUGAAUGCCAGCCGUUAGUGGGUUUACUCACUAGUGNNGCAGCUAACGCUUUAAGCAUUCCGCCUGGGGAGUACGGUCGCAAGAUUAAAACUCAAAGGAAUUGACGGGGGCCCGCACAAGCGGUGGAGCAUGUGGUUUAAUUCGACGCAACGCGCANAACCUUACCAGCCCUUGACAUCCCGGUCGCGGACUCCGGANACGGAGUUCUUCAGUUCGGCUGGACCGGANACAGGUGCUGCAUGGCUGUCGUCAGCUCGUGUCGUGAGAUGUUGGGUUAAGUCCCGCAACGAGCGCAACCCCCGUCCUUAGUUGCUACCAUUUAGUUGAGCACUCUAAGGAGACUGCCGGUGAUAAGCCGCGAGGAAGGUGGGGAUGACGUCAAGUCCUCAUGGCCCUUACGGGCUGGGCUACACACGUGCUACAAUGGCGGUGACAAUGGGAUGCUAAGGGGCGACCCUUCGCAAAUCUCAAAAAGCCGUCUCAGUUCGGAUUGGGCUCUGCAACUCGAGCCCAUGAAGUUGGAAUCGCUAGUAAUCGUGGAUCAGCACGCCACGGUGAAUACGUUCCCGGGCCUUGUACACACCGCCCGUCACACCAUGGGAGUUGGUUUUACCUGAAGACGGUGCGCUAACCGAAAGGGGGCAGCCGGCCACGGUAGGGUCAGCGACUGGGGUG
rnacentral:rRNA from 1 species